GACGAACGCUGGCGGCGUGCUUAACACAUGCAAGUCGAACGGAAAGGCCCCUUUGGGGGUACUCGAGUGGCGAACGGGUGAGUAACACGUGAGUAACCAGCCCUUGACUUCGGGAUAACUUCAGGAAACUGGGGCUAAUACCGGAUAGGAAUCCUUGCUUCAUGGUGGGGGUUGGAAAGCUUCGGCGGUUUUGGAUGGACUCGCGGCUUAUCAGCUUGUUGGUGGGGUAGUGGCUUACCAAGGCUUUGACGGGUAGCCGGCCUGAGAGGGCGACCGGCCACAUUGGGACUGAGAUACGGCCCAGACUCCUACGGGAGGCAGCAGUGGGGAAUAUUGCACAAUGGGCGGAAGCCUGAUGCAGCAACGCCGCGUGCGGGAUGACGGCCUUCGGGUUGUAAACCGCUUUCAGCAGGGGCGAAGCUUGUGGUGACGGUACCUGCAGAAGAAGCACCGGCUAACUACGUG
rnacentral:rRNA from 1 species